GUGCUCUCUUGGGAAGCACAUAUAUUACUUGUCAGGAGACACAGAUUAGCAAAGGCCCUGUGCAAGGAGGACACAGACAUUCAUGAAGUGCUUCAUAUUUUA
ensembl:snRNA U6 U6 spliceosomal RNA